GUGGGGAAUAUUGCGCAAUGGGGGAAACCCUGACGCAGCAACGCCGCGUGCAGGAAGAAGGUCUUCGGAUUGUAAACUGUUGUCGCAGGGGAAGAAGACAGUGACGGUACCCUGUGAGAAAGUCACGGCUAACUACGUGCCAGCAGCCGCGGUAAUACGUAGGUGACAAGCGUUGUCCGGAUUUACUGGGUGUAAAGGGCGCGUAGGCGGGAUAGCAAGUCAGUCGUGAAAUGCCGAGGCUUAACCUCGGAGCUGCGAUUGAAACUGUUAUUCUUGAGUAUCGGAGAGGAAAGCGGAAUUCCUAGUGUAGCGGUGAAAUGCGUAGAUAUUAGGAGGAACACCAGUGGCGAAGGCGGCUUUCUGGACGACAACUGACGCUGAGGCGCGAAAGUGUGGGGAGCAAACAGGA
rnacentral:rRNA from 1 species